UUUAAAGAGAGUUUGAUCCUGGCUCAGGACGAACGCUGGCGGCGUGCCUAAUACAUGCAAGUCGAACGAACGGAGGAAGAGCUUGCUCUUCCAAAGUUAGUGGCGGACGGGUGAGUAACACGUGGGCAACCUGCCUGUAAGUUGGGGAUAACUCCGGGAAACCGGGGCUAAUAC
rnacentral:rRNA from 1 species